AAGGCUUGAAAGCAUUUCCCAAGUUGGAGAAAUUGACACUUGAGAACAUGCUUAACCUUGAAGAAUGGACCGGAAUGGAGAAUGGAGACUUUCCAUGCCUUCUUCAAAUGUCUAUAAUAUGCUGCCCAAAAUUAUAUGAUCUUCCAUUGCUUUCACAUUUUAAAGCACUCAAGAAACUUGAGAUAAGCUACUGUGCAGCCCUGCAAUCUUUGCAUGCAGAACAUCAACUUCCUCCUUCACUUCAAUCUUUAAUCUUAAGAGAUUGUCCAAAGGUUACAGAAAGAUGCCGCAAGGAUGGAGGUGAAGACUGGUUUAAGAUAGUUCAUGUGCCUAAUAUUUGGAUUGAUGAUGAAGAAAUUUCUCUCAAUUGAUAGCUCAAGUGAUACGAUCUCAUUACACAACUGAAUAAGCGGAAAUGCUGUUAUGGCAUCUGACAUACAAUCAUGCCUAUUCUUGUUAGGACAUCAUCGAGUCAUUUCUUAAGGUGUCAAUUUGAAGAGCAAAAAAGUCAUUUUUUGGGGUGUACAGACACCAUCUGUUUGUUCUUGGGUGUGGUGUAAACUGCUUAAGCUAAGGCGUUAGGUACACCAUUAUAUCAUGCAUGUGAUAGAUGUUGGGGAAAAUACGAGUUUUUGGUUUGAUUUUUGGCAACUUAUAGGCCCUCCACACCAGAAGUUCAGUGGGAAAUUUCUCCAUCCUCUUGGUCUUAUUGUAAAGGGUCUAAAGUGGCUCAAUUUAUUAAAUGUAGGGAUUGGCAAUGGCCUCAAGGUAGAAAGUUUAAUCUCAAGGUGAGAAGGUUGAACUUGGCUACUCCAAUAUGCUUUGUUCCUCUUCCUGAUAGCUCUGAUUCUAUCUACUGGACUGCCAGUACACCUGUUCAGUUUCUUUGAAAUCAGCGAUAGAACCCUCGUGUCUUGAGAUGUCCAGGCAGUAAAGUUGAAUGGUACCAGUUGGUGUGAAGCACAGGUUUUGUUCUCAAAUUUUCUUCAUCCUGUGGCUUGCAUGUAAGAAGAAGCUGUUGACCAGAGACAGGCUAAGGAGUUGAAAGUACCGGCCUUUUGUUUUACUUAUCACGUUGCAUGCAAGUGCUUGGCCUGAUGAGCUACAUUGGAUGUGUCACCAUUGGAAGGGCAAGUGUUUUUGCUGUCAAUUUGAAGAGGCUAAUGCUAGCUGUUACAGUCUAUCAACUUUGGCGAAUGAGGAAUGAGGUAAUAAAUUCAGCAUCGUUCUCCCUCAACUUGUGCUGUUGUAGCUGGAAUUGUUGGCAUAGUUUAGAUUGGCUGUGAGUAUUUGGAGAGAUGUUCCUUGUACAAAAGAAAAUCGGGAUUUAGCAUUGGGGUUUGUAACAUGGGAUUUUUUGAGCAUGAUUUUUUUAAAAAAAAUAGAAAUAUCUGUUUUGGUGGGAUUUGUUCAGCAUGAUUUAGGGAGAGGGGGAGGGGACACAUUGUAUAAGGAAAUCUGUUGGUAUAUUACAUUGUUAGAGAGAUAUUUGUUACAA